rnacentral:misc_RNA from 1 species
AUUAUAUUAUUGCUUAAAUUUGCAGUUUCAUUUAUCUGAUAAUUUACAAGUCCAUAAACUAUCACCACAAAAUAUCACUAGACAUGCUUAAAAUUAUUAUAAAUAAGAAAGGCAACAUUCCAUUCAAAUUUUAAAGAAGAUGCUCAAUUUAUAUAAAGCUAUUCUCCAAAUUAAAUUAAAUUUGUGAUUUGCAGAACCAUUAAGUUCUAUGCAUUUGUGAGGGUCAGAUCCAAUCUAAAGGGAGUGGUGUGACUAAGGCAGCUAAAGAUUGCUACUAAAUAAUAGAUCUCUUUAAUUCUGAAUUUAUAUCUAUUAGAUAUGAUCUAAUAGUUCUUCAUUAAGUUCCACAUAAUUUGAAAGUGUCAAGUUUACAUUACAUGGAAUAAAUUUCGUAGAGAAAAUAUGUCUCAUAUCAAUUGAAGUAAAACAUACUACUAAUUUAAACCUUAAAUUUUCUCAAGUUCUUUCUAGUUUGGAUCAAUUAGUUGGAACUCAAAUUAGGUGCUCACUCUGGUGGGUAAACAACCAUUGGAAACUUAAUAUUAUUAAUGACCAUUUGGUAUAGAAGUUCAGUUGAAGCUAAGAAGUUGGUGAUAAAUUUUCACCAUUUUCAUAAUUUUUGGAGG